GUACGAAGAAAACAUUUGAAAUCAGAAGUAAGGUCUAUUCAGACUCCGUACGGGUAUAGGCUAUGUCCUUUGAGGGUCUGGGUUCCAAACGCCCAUUUUGUACGCUGGCCCUUGACGCACGUACGAUUUGUAAACUGAAAGCUUCUUGAUUAUGAAAGAAAUCCAGCACACUCCUAAAACAUGAUUUGUGCGCCAGCAGAGGGGUAGGCCAAGAGAGCGCGUUAUUUUACACAGCUUGGGGAUUUCUCCACGAAUAGGCCUUGAGCUGCUUAAAAGGGCGUUAUACUAGCAUGGCUACCAUCUCGCCUGAUACAACUAACUGCACCAUGUUUUGUAUCACGAACAAACUUUUCACAAGAGGUUGUGUGAUUUACAAUAGUGGAAACUGGAGAUAGUGUGGGCCAUAGAGGAUAGCAGCAGCCACGUCGAAUAGGCAAUAUAUUUCAGUUUAGAUCAUUAAGUUGCCGUAUUUGCAUAGAUAAAUCAUUACUGUCUCCGCUAGGCUACAAUACUUCCAGUACUCUUGCCUCCGGGACACAUCUGCAUCAGAAUUGUUAUAUUUCUCGAUGUUGAUUGAGUGUCAUUUUCAAAAUGAUAGGCCUAUACAUUUUUCUUGUGCAAGACAGGACAGAACUACCCGUGCUCAAAGAUACAAGAUAACGUCCUUCCUUCGCUACCAGAUGAUUGUUUGGUGGGCAGCAAGGCAGAAUAGCUACCUGCCUGCAGCGGGGGAAGGGGGCCUCCAACGCGGCGGGGACUUCUCUCGCCACCCCGCUGAGUUGGGACGGGCGGAGAGCGAAUCCCCAAUCCCCACCCUAUAGGCACACGGCGCCCAGCUAAGAAAUACAAUCCAACGUCAAUUAAAUGCAGUCUCUGCUGCGAUUUACUGCAAUGAAUGAUAAAUUGUAGUCGUUCUCACACCCUAUAGGAUCUUUUAAAUGGAAAUAAUAGGCAACAUCGUAAUGUAAAAUAUGCAUAGGCUACAUUUACCACAUUACCACAUUUAGUCUCGCUGGUAAACCGUCUCUCGCUUUUGUUGCAAAUUCCAGUCUAAAUAACCAGGUUUGUUUCAAGGCGUCAGUGUUUAAGGUCAAAUUGUUUUAUUGCUAGAUUGAUAGUUAUUCAAGAGCACAGACGUUGCAAAAUAAAAAUGUAGGCUAUCUAGUUACACAUUUGCGAAUAACAAAAUCAUUUCGUAGCUGUCGACCGUGAAAUGAGAACAGGGAAAAUAUGGUUGAGCGUUAAACAGUGUAAACAAUAAUUACAAACAGAAGGGAAAGGACGUGACCUGACAGGCAGGGCUUCUUUCCCAUGCCUAUUGCGCACGUGCAUCAGAAGCAUAUCUCGAUGGAUCUAUUUUAUUUACAAUUCAAAUUUGGACUGUUUCAAUGGAUCAAAUGUAUUUAGAGUUUAAAAGUAAGAAUAGUAUUAAUAAAAACAAAUAUCUAAGAG
rnacentral:lncRNA from 1 species